GGUGCGUUUCGUUAGGACCUGCCAGAUGGGGAAGACAGGAAAUAACUACCUUUCACGGUAGCUCUUUAAUGUGGUUCCUUAAACAGCCAUCUGUGCUACCCAUUGCAAGAAACCAAGGAUUUCAAGUCAUCUCUUGAAUCUUCCGUGUGACGGUUUCUCCCAUAACGGCUCCUUGAAGAUCAAAGGCCACCAGACAUUUUACCAUACAGCCAACUUUCAGUGAAAAUCCUAAGGUGGAGAAGAGACUGAAUAUGCCCACUGUGCCCAAGGCAGGGUUAGAGUUGAUUUGGGGUUUACUUGGCUUCAUGGAUUUGAAACCAUAGAUGCUCUUACACAUCUUUC
rnacentral:lncRNA from 1 species